ensembl:lncRNA
CUGAAUCAGUCUGAGCAAAGGUAUAUCAAUUCAAACGGAGAGAAACUGAAUCAAUCUGAGCAAGAACAUAUACCUUCAGGCGGAGAGAAACUGAAUCAAUCCGAGCCAGAGUACAUAACUUCAGGCGGAGAGAAACAGAACGUAAAUGCACAAGAACACAUAACAACAGACGGAGAGAAAAUGAAUCAAUCCGAGUCAGAGUAUAUACCUUCAGGCGGAGAGAAACUGAAUCAAUCUGAACAAGAGGAUAUAACUUCAGGCGGCGAGACACUGGAUAUAUGUGAGCAAGAACAUAUACCCUCAGACAGAGAGAAAAUGAAUCAAUCCGAGCAAGAAAAUAUACCUUUAGGUGGAGAAAAACUGAAUCAAUUCGAGCAAGAAAAUAUACCUUUAGGUGGACAGAAACUGAAUCAAUUCGAGCCAGAGUAUAUAAUUUCAGGCGGAGAGAAACUGAAUCAAUCUGAACAAGAGAAUAUACCUUUAGGUGGACAGAAACUGAAUCAAUUCGAGCCAGAGUACAUAACUUCAGGCGGAGAGAAACUGAAUCUAUAUGUGCAAGAACACAUACCCUCAGACAGAGAGGAACUGAAUCAAUCUGAACAAGAGAAUAUACCUUUAGGCGGAGAGACACUGGAUAUAUGUGAGCAAGAACAUAUACCCUCAGACAGAGAGAAAAUGAAUCAAUCCGAGCAAGAAAAUAUACCUUUAGGCGGAGAGAAACAGAACGUAAAUGCACAAGAACACAUACCAACAGACGGAGAGAAAAUGAAUCAAUCCGAGUCAGAGUAUAUACCUUCAGGUGGAGAGAAACUGAAUCAAUCCGAGCCAGAGUACAUAACUUCAGGCGGAGAGAAACUGAAUCUAUAUGUGCAAGAACACAUACCCUCAGACAGAGAGGAACUGAAUCAAUCUGAACAAGAGGAUAUAACUUCAGGCGGAGAGAAACAGAACGUAAAUGCACAAGAACACAUACCAACAGACGGAGAGAAAAUGAAUCAAUCCGAGUCAGAGUAUAUACCUUCAGGUGGAGAGAAACUGAAUCAAUCCGAGCCAGAGUACAUAACUUCAGGCGGAGAGAAACUGAAUCUAUAUGUGCAAGAACACAUACCCUCAGACAGAGAGAAAAUGAAUCAAUCCGAGCAAGAAAAUAUACCUUUAGGUGGAGAAAAACUGAAUCAAUUCGAGCAAGAAAAUAUACCUUUAGGUGGACAGAAACUGAAUCAAUUCGAGCCAGAGUAUAUAAUUUCAGGCGGAGAGAAACUGAAUCUAUAUGAACAAGAACACAUACCUUUAG